AUGACUAUGGCGGAAUUGGUAGACGCGAUUAGUUUAGGUCUAAUUAUUUUUAAAUAUAAGGGUUCAAAUCCCUUUAGUCAUA